UCCUUGUUAUGCAAGGCAGUCUCCUGUGAAAAAUACAACACAGGAUAAGGGUUGCGCUCGUUUACGGACUUAACCGAACACCUCAAGGCACGAGCUGACGACAACCAUGCAGCACCUGUCAUUCCGUUCCUUACGGCACUCCUCUGUUUCCAGUGGAUUCGGAAGAUGUCAAGUCUUGGUAAGGUUCCUCGCUUAUUGUCGAAUUAAACCACACGCUCCACCGCUUGUGUGGGUCCCCGUCUAUUCCUUUGAGUUUUAAUCUUGCGAUCGUACUACUCAGGCGGAUCACUUAUCGUGUUAACUUAGGCACUGAGAGGGUCGAACUCCCAACACCGAGUGAUCAUCGUUUACGGCGUGGACUAC
rnacentral:misc_RNA from 1 species